UCUCAGCGAUCAAUGAUAAAUAAAUUAUAUAUCAUAUAAAUUUAACUAUGUAUCAUGUUUAUUUAAUUAUAAUCUGAACAUAUUUGAGUUUUAAUCUACAUAAAUUUUUUGUUAGAGUGGUGUCAAAAAAAGAUCAAGAAUUAAAUUUUUAUUUUUUUAUUAUUAUUUUAGUUGGUGAAAAUCUUAGCUGAUAUGAUGAGAUAUUAUUAAUAUCUCGUUACAUCAGUCUCAUCACUC
rnacentral:lncRNA from 1 species